rnacentral:rRNA from 1 species
UAUACAUGCAAGUCGAGCGGACAGAAGGGAGCUUGCUCCCGGAUGUUAGCGGCGGACGGGUGAGUAACACGUGGGUAACCUGCCUGUAAGACUGGGAUAACUCCGGGAAACCGGAGCUAAUACCGGAUAGUUCCUUGAACCGCAUGGUUCAAGGAUGAAAGACGGUUUCGGCUGUCACUUACAGAUGGACCCGCGGCGCAUUAGCUAGUUGGUGGGGUAAUGGCUCACCAAGGCGACGAUGCGUAGCCGACCUGAGAGGGUGAUCGGCCACACUGGGACUGAGACACGGCCCAGACUCCUACGGGAGGCAGCAGUAGGGAAUCUUCCGCAAUGGACGAAAGUCUGACGGAGCAACGCCGCGUGAGUGAUGAAGGUUUUCGGAUCGUAAAGCUCUGUUGUUAGGGAAGAACAAGUGCGAGAGUAACUGCUCGCACCUUGACGGUACCUAACCAGAAAGCCACGGCUAACUACGUGCCAGCAGCCGCGGUAAUACGUAGGUGGCAAGCGUUGUCCGGAAUUAUUGGGCGUAAAGGGCUCGCAGGCGGUUUCUUAAGUCUGAUGUGAAAGCCCCCGGCUCAACCGGGGAGGGUCAUUGGAAACUGGGAAACUUGAGUGCAGAAGAGGAGAGUGGAAUUCCACGUGUAGCGGUGAAAUGCGUAGAGAUGUGGAGGAACACCAGUGGCGAA